GACGAACGCUGGCGGCGUGCUUAACACAUGCAAGUCGAGCGGUAAGGCCCUUUCGGGGGUACACGAGCGGCGAACGGGUGAGUAACACGUGGGUGACCUGCCCUCAGCUCUGGGAUAAGCCUGGGAAACUGGGUCUAAUACUGGAUAUGACUCCACGGUGCAUGUCGUGGGGUGGAAAGCCUUGUGCGGCUGAGGAUGGGCCCGCGGCCUAUCAGCUUGUUGGUGGGGUGANGGCCUACCAAGGCGACGACGGGUAGCCGGCCUGAGAGGGCGACCGGCCACACUGGGACUGAGACACGGCCCAGACUCCUACGGGAGGCAGCAGUGGGGAAUCUUGCGCAAUGGGCGAAAGCCUGACGCAGCGACGCCGCGUGAGGGAUGACGGCCUCGGUGUAAC
rnacentral:rRNA from 1 species